rnacentral:lncRNA from 1 species
GGAGAGAUUCAAGAAAGAUCCACUAAAUAAAAGAAGAACGGAGAACCAUUUUCGGCCAUUUGAUCAUCAAGAUCUACGGUGGAUGCAUCAUCUUGUUGGAUGAAUGUAGAUCCUAGGUUCGAAUCCAGAAGGGAGUAAUUUUUUUUUUAUUUUUUUAGUGCAUUAAUUUUAACAGGGAAUGCAUUAAUUUUUAUAAUGAAUCCACUAGAUUUGAUGGUUCUCACGUUCUCACAAAUAAUAUAGUUCUCUCUAGAACCACACCACAUAUAUAUAUAUAUAUAUGUGUGUGUGUGUGUGUGUGUGUGUGUGUGUAGAUUAGAUAAGAUCAACGACUGAGAUUUGUUACCUGUUCUUUGAAUAUUUAGUGUUCUCCAUUGAACUCUUCCAUAUAGGGCUGUAAAUUCGGGUUGCGGGUAUCGGGCAUACCCUCACCCGUCCCGAUAACCGCGCGGGUAUCG